GUUCGUCGAAGCUGCCCUCCUCCUCCUCACUCACGCUGUCAUCGAGGGUGGCAGAGCACUCGGAGAUGCCAUCUGCGGCAUGUAAACAGAGAUUACAAAACAGCACCGAGCAGAUGGAUGAAAUAGAUGCAGGAUUCCAGCCCUCACCGCUGAGCACUCUGUGGAGCUUGCGCCUCCCCACGCGGUCCAGUCCAAUGGGGGUGCUCUGGGAGAGAACAGAGGGACGGAACCUGGCAGACACUCCUUUGUAGGGGGGCACCUGGUGGGAGGGGAUCGGUGGGCGCGACAAAGGCUGCAAAGAUGAGAAGCAGCAAAGGCCCUGGGAUUAGCAUGUCUCUGAUGUCACAUCCAGGUAGAUUCCAUCAAAGUGGAAGAAAGCCUCUUCAACAAUAAAAGAUAAACUCAG